rnacentral:lncRNA from 1 species
UCAGUCUUGUCAUGUAGAGUCGCAGCUCCUAGCAUUCCUAUUCAGUGGCAUUGCGUGUCUCACCUUCAUUGGAUUUACACUUAUUCUCGUCCUCCUCACUUCGUUACCUUGUGUUUAUCGUGUAUUCAUCGUGUAGUCCACAUAGGGCAGUCUCCUUUAGACGCAUUCUUGUUCGUACUCCAAGGUGGUUCGACCGAGUACUCACCUUUGACAUUGAUUUUUUGGGUCACUUUUGGAGACAUUUUAGAAGGAGCCUGGAUCCUUAGUGUGGCCGCAGAGGCAUUUUGUGACAUCUUUCUCUUUCAGGAUUAGAGCCU